rnacentral:lncRNA from 1 species
UAUGUAGACAUAAUUCGACAUCUUCAAUACAAUAGUUCAUAGAUUCAGAUAAAGAUCGGAUAUGACACCACCAGUAAAUACAUAGUACAUGACUUAGUUGUCUCAUCUUGAUCUAUUCUUAUACGGUAGACAAAAGAUAGUACUCGGCGUAUAUAACGACCUUGAUCACGUCAUGCCUUCCUGUUGACUUUGACUUAAUCAAAUGUCUACAAAGAAGCAACAAAGAACCACAUUAGUGGCUACAUAAGCUAGUAGAAUAAUAAUACUCACAAGUAUAGCCACAAGAAAGUUAUACUACUUUAGAGCGUGCUACAUGUCUCGCAAUGAAAGAGAUAGGAGCAAGCAGAAUACAUGUGUCCCAUAUAAAAUGGUAAUACCAAAGUCCAGUUCAAAGAUACUUAUGGUGAUAGGUUUUCUUCAUCCAGUUCAAAGAUACAUUGAUACACCAAAAGCAAGCUAUAGUGGCAGGAUAACAGAUUUAUACAGUUCAUCUAUGUCAUAUAGUGAUAGCAGUACAUUAUAUUACGGAGAGACGAUAUUUUAGGAAACGCGCCUUGGCGCGUAGUGCCUGGCUCAACAAUUUGCCUAGUCGUGUAAACAAAGUAUGUACUAUUGCAAGAGUAGUUGUUAAAAAUGGAUCAAUUUAAUACAUCAAUCUAACAUCAGAAGUAUGCCAUUGCCUUUAUAUAUAAUAUAAUUGUGCCCAAUAUAUAUAGUAUCUCUCCAAGUAGCCAAAGGGCAGUGCAACCGUUAAUUAACAAAAACAAAUCAACAAUUUUGCUCCAAAGGCAAACCAGCAUGAUGUGCCAUCACAUAGUACAUACAAUAGUUGAGUCAUUGUGUAGACAAAGAGAGCCACAUGGGCGGUGCGAGAUAAAGAACCUAAGUAGUACCUGAUGGAUGGCAUUGAUGUACCAACAAAUUGCUUGAGUCGAUCAAAGCUCACAUGGAGAUACUUUUAUCUUCUUUCCAUAGAAGCACUCACGUCCAAGGGCUGUACCAUACCAGACACGUGGUCCUGUGUAUCGAGUAUAAGAAUUUGACAUUCGGGAAGUACGAAGCACGGGACAUGUGUUCGAUAGCAAAAGACGGGAUUAUAUGACAAAUUAAUACACCUUAUAAACUGCUAUAUUGUUCUCUUAGCUUUACUAACUCGCCCUGGAAUCUAUGCUGUCAAAGAAAUUUUGAGCUAUUCCUUUUCAGACAACAAGACCUGCUUCUGUUUAGUUUAUAUAUUCAGGUUGUUUACUUCGUUGAUCUACAGUUCUAUAUUGCCAAUAGCCGAUCCAAACAGAGGAAAGGUGAAAAUUAGACAUGAUAUAUUCAUAUUGUUUUCUGACGAUUACUGAUAAUAAAGUCCAAUGAUAACUAUAGGUCAUUAUAACCAAAGAACUACCGCAUAUUACUACGCCAUGCCGGUGUGUUACCUCUUGUCUUGGUCCUUUGAAGAAG